UUCACAUUCCAAGCCCUGCCGUGCUCGCAUGCCUCCAAUCAGGCGUCUGGCCGGGGGUGGGGGCUCUGGAGCCCUGUUAAAGCCUCUCUCUCCCAAACGGCAUUUCUCAGACACCGCGCCAGCUUCCACUUGGCUGCAAGGGAUCUCACCUGCUCCCUGGCUGAGAGAUCACAGAACAUGUCCGAUUCCAGAGGAAUCACUGAAGAAUAUGAAGAGUAA